rfam:Gossypium hirsutum cultivar TM-1 chromosome 24, whole genome shotgun sequence
AACUCAUGAUGAGGACACCUUCUCAAAAGAUCAUUAAAUCUCUUCCAUGCAGCAUAUAACGUCUCAAGCUCGAGUUGAGCAAAAAAGGAGAUGUCAUUCCUAAACUU